UUUCAUACGGUGAUUUACAUUUCGAUUUUGAUCAUCGGUCAUUUUUAAUAAACGUUUACUUUUGUCGAUUCAACAAUAAUUCCCUAUAAAUUCGGGUGCAUUUUUGAGCCUUGUGUUCCAAUUGCCGACCAUUGCAUCGUGAAUACAACAUUUUCGAACGCGCUUUUUGUCAUUUUGCAGUGAAUGUGACAGUGUUGUUGAUUUAAUUUUCAUUACAAUGAAGAAGAGACGUGCAAAAAUAAAUUCAGCCUUUAAGAAAACAACGCAAAAUUGAACGACAAUGAAGAGUUGCGAUCGAUAAAACUGUCAGCGCCUUCGGUAUUCAAGUCUGAAUAUUCGGAAGCGUUAACAGAGCAUUUUUUCCAUAAAUGCUACGAUGGUACAGUAAUAUGCUACCUAGGUCUAGAGGGAAAGAACAAGCCAAAAAGCUAAAAAAA